GGCCUUGUUGCCUUCAGUCGUCUGUCAAACUCAGACUUGUUUUGGUUUCCUCGACAGAAAACUUCAACACCUAACGGCAGUAGACCCUGCUGCUGAUCAGCUUCGUUAUUGAUGAAGAGGAAGUGAGGAGUAGUGCUCAAGUUGACUGUUGAGUUUGACUGAGAUAUGUCUGAGACAACCAGCAAUCCCAGGUCAUGUACCAUGGGUUUAUCGGAAGCUUUCUCUAAAAAAUCAGCUGUCUGCUGUGGCCAAAUGAAGCAGAACAGCACAGUUCCAAGCCAGAAAACCAAAGCAAUAGACAGACACUCCGACACUGAAAUUGUCCAAGUUGAUACCAGCGGCAGUCAGACAAAGUGCCUGAGUCCCCCACAAUGCGAGCGUGUAAACAGGUUUCGAUCCCCACAAUGUGAGUAAUACCAGGUGCACAAAUCUGGACCUUGUUGCAGUUCAGUGGUACCUGUCAGCACCCUGAAAUACUGCAGUGAAAUAAUUGGACAUUGUCAGGUUGUUAAAGCCAUUUAAAAAAUAAUUCAUUUACCAACUGGUAGUUAAACCUACGUUCAAAGCAACAACUUUGGACAUGGAUAUUGAGUCUGAAUGUUAUUUAAUCUAAAGCACUGUUGCAUCAAUUUUUUUUUAUUUUUAUAAAUGAUUGCUUAUCUUACUGUUGCAAAUAAAUAUAUGGUGAAUUCUUACACUCUUGUAAACAAGGAUUACUAUAUGAACAAGCAGGAACAGUACAGUACACAGUGUAGGCACCACUGGCAUUCUGUUACCAUCUGAACGGACUAGUUUGUAGAGUAUGUCAUAGUGCUCCAACUGGCAGAGCUGAUACACAUGACAUGUGAAUGUAAUGUGUGAGCUGGAUGACCAGGCCUGGCCUCGACAAGACAAAGCUUUCUUUCUGCACCACAGGAAAAGGAUAUGACAUCAUUCUGUCCAUACAAAGCCUCUGGACUAAAAAAAGGGUCUAUGCUAAGAAAUUUCAUUGUAUCUGAAUAAUAAGGGGUUAUUUUUGUGCUUACUUUUAGUAGAUGUCUUCAGAGUGAUGCAAUGUCUUGUAGAUCUGAAGAAGAAGAAUUAUUUAGUUUCUGUCAAUACAAAGAGUUGAAAUGAUGCAAUGAGGAAAACAAACAAAAUGUUGAUUUUAAAGUGAAUAUAAAGUAAACUACAUAUUAAAGUUAAUGUCACUCACUCAUAGAGCAGCACUUUUGAUAUCUCGAGUCCGUUAUGGAAACAAACAAAUAUGUUUGAACAACCACAGCCUAACUCUGUGGUUAGAUUUAUGAGCUGCCAUUACAUAGCAUGGUUACUGUGUGACUGGCAUAAAUGAAACUUCUGUUAGAAGGAAAACAGGGUGAAAACUCAGCUGUAAGAAGGACACCACUUGCUGUCUGUGUGAUAUUUGGGGAAUGUGGCCUCUUCAUGUUUGAGAUGCCAUGGUCUGCUUUCACACCCAGUAUCUCUCCUGUCAGCAGUGAUGUGUUAUGUGAGGACACACUCCUUGUAAAGUGAAAUCUUACAACUGCAUCACAUUUGAAACUUAAACGUGUGUAUUCACAUUGAAAACAUCAGUGUCUCACCAUUUAUUCAAAUCUGUUUUUUGCUGGCUGUUUUUUUUUUAAACAAUUUUUCAUCAAUGUAUUUUUUUUCUAAAUCUGCUCCCUUUAGCUUCGAUUUGCUUCCCUUGUAUAUGGUCCAUUCCUGUGCUGUGUGUGACAUUCUCCCACAGUUCAACUAAUCAAAAGUUUAUCAAAUUAUAAUCAUGAUGCAUUAAGGCCACUGUUGCACACAGUGCCUGGCUAUAAACACAUUAGCAUCUUGCUAAUGAACAAGGACAAGACACCUCACUAAAGAUAUUCUUUCAAUAGUGGAUAUUGGCUCUCAAGACCCCCCAGUGGUCAAAUCUAUGCACUGCAGGCUGUGACCGCAUGAGUGGAACUGUGUACACAGGAACCUAAAUUCAGUAAAAUAUUAGUAUACAGAGAAUUAUUUAUGGCACUCUUAAUACCAAUUUGUACUACCAAUAUACUCCAAACAUUUCAGAUAUUAAUUGCCAAGGCAAAAACAAGCUUAUUUCCCUCAAACAUCAGAAUUAACUAAACAAAUGCAUUUUCUGAAGAAAAUUCAUGUGGAUGCUGUGUGUGUCUUACUGUGUGACCGUUUGUGCAGUACCAUGUGAACUUUAAUGCUUCUAUUUUAAGCAAUUAAACCAAUAGCAGAAACCAGUAAAUGUGUUCCUAUACAGCAGGUGGAUAGCUCGGUGGUUAACACUACCGACUAUGAUACAGCAGGUCGGGGUUUGAUACUCUGUCAAGGCACGAUAGAUCAUUUUGUGAGUGUGAUUUAGAUCCUUGUGCAAUCUUAUUAACCAGUAGCAGAAACCAGUAAAAGACUCUCUAGUCAUGUAACUACAGGAGAAGUCUUCACAACUGUGGUCCAGGCACAUGCAGUGCAACAGCAUGGAGAAAAACGUGAGGUGCUCUGCUGUGAUAACCCCCACCAGUAGGGUUUUCCCAUCUUAGACCAAAACUUAAGCAGCUGGCUGAGCUGGGAUGGAGCUGGGAUGUUUAUAAGUUUUGUAAACAUUUGAUUUCAAUAAUAAAUGGUGCAUUUAUAAACAGAUUUGCCUGUCUUUAUGCAUGUCCUCAAGAAUGUUGCUGGUGAUUGUCUGGCCACAGAAGGACAUCUGGUUAAGGAUUGCCUAAGGGGGAAAUGGAAAAAGUUUGAGUUUAAAGCAUGAUAUGCUCCAUAAAUUCAACCUGUCAUGUUUUGUUUUUAAUAUGUUUGCUUCACUUUGAACAAAAAGGCUUUCAGUGAGCACAUUUGUACCUUAGCAGUUAACAUCCUUUGAUUAUACAUCUCAGAAUCAGCUUUAUUGGCCAGCUGUGUUGGACACAUGACAAAUUUGACUCUAGUACAGCAGCUCUUAAUGCGCAUGUACAUGGCCUUAUGUAAUGCAGCAGUGGGAAAGUAACCAAUGUAAGGCUGAGAACAGAAGUAAAGUGCAAUCAAGCAAAGGAAUGUGCCUUUGGAGUAAACAAAGUACUAUAUACACACAGUCUGGAUUCGAUGGAUCGAUAUGUAUAAGGUAUAUAUUUACAGGUAUUGCACUGAGGGUUAUUGUCCAGUCAUACUGUC